GAUGAACGCUGGCGGCGUGCUUAACACAUGCAAGUCGAACGAAGCACUUUAUUUGAUUUCCUUCGGGACUGAUUAUUUUGUGACUGAGUGGCGGACGGGUGAGUAACGCGUGGGUAACCUGCCUUGUACGGGGGGAUAACAGUUGGAAACGGCUGCUAAUACCGCAUAAGCGCACGGCAUCGCAUGAUGCAGUGUGAAAAACUCCGGUGGUAUAAGAUGGACCCGCGUUGGAUUAGCUAGUUGGUGAGGUAACGGCCCACCAAGGCGACGAUCCAUAGCCGACCUGAGAGGGUGACCGGCCACAUUGGGACUGAGACACGGCCCAAACUCCUACGGGAGGCAGCAGUGGGGAAUAUUGCACAAUGGGCGAAAGCCUGAUGCAGCGACGCCGCGUGAGCGAAGAAGUAUUUCGGUAUGUAAAGCUCUAUCAGCAGGGAAGAUAAUGACGGUACCUGACGAAGAAGCACCGGCUAAAUACGUG
rnacentral:rRNA from 1 species